rnacentral:rRNA from 1 species
GUGGGGAAUUUUGGACAAUGGGGGCAACCCUGACGCAGCGACGCCGCGUGGAGGACGAAGUCUUUCGGGAUGUAAACUCCUGUCAGUGGGGACGAUAAUGACGGUACCCACAGAGGAAGCACCGGCUAACUCCGUGCCAGCAGCCGCGGUAAGACGGAGGGUGCAAGCGUUGUUCGGAAUUACUGGGCGUAAAGCGUAUGUAGGCGGCAAGUUAAGUUCAAUGUUAAAGCCCACGGCUCAACCGAGGAGAUGCAUUGAAUACUGGCUAGCUAGAGGGUGUUAGAGGAAGACGGAAUUCCCAGUGUAGCGGUGAAAUGCGUAGAUAUUGGGAGGAACAUCGGUAGCGAAAGCGGUCUUCUGGGACAUACCUGACGCUGAGGUACGAAAGCGUGGGGAGCAAACGGGAUUAGAUACCCGAGUAGUCC